CGAAAAUGCACGACUAGAGCUUGAGUGUCGAGCGACGUGUUUCAACACUCUGAAGAUGAUUUCGAUCGUCAAUAGAGUGUUGAAAUUACGAGCGGCAAACGGGUGAGUAACACAUUAGUAACCUACCUUCAAGACGGGGAUAGCCCAUCGAAAGAUGGAUUAAUACCCGAUAGUCAUAGAUAGACUUAUGUCAUUCUAUGUAAAUCUUUUUGGCUUGAAGAGGGGCUUAUGUCUGAUUAGCUAGUUGGUGAGGUAAUGGCUCACCAAGGCUUCGAUCAAUAGCAGGCGUGAGAGCGUGACCUGCCUCACUGGGACUGAGACACUGCCCAGACUCCUACGGGAGGCUGCAGUCAAGAAUAUUCCACAAUGGACGAAAGUCUGAUGGAGCGACGCCGCGUGCAGGAAGACGCCCUUCGGGGUGUAAACUGCUUUUUUUAGGGACGAAUCAUUGACGGUACCUGAAGAAUAAGAGGUUGCUAACUCUGUGCCAGCAGCAGCGGUAAUACAGAGACCUCGAACGUUAUCCGGAUUCAUUGGGCGUAAAGCGUCCGCAGGUGGUUUAUUAAGUUAGUGGUUAAAUCCUGGAGCUUAACUUCAGGACUGCUGUUAAUACUGAUAAACUCGAGGUUGGGAGAGGUGAGCGGAAUUCUCGGUGUAGUCGUAAUAAGCGCUGAUAUCGAGAAGAACACCUAAGGCAAAGGCAGCUCACUAGAACAUACCUGACACUCAUGGACCAAAGCGUGGGUAGCGAAUGGGAUUAGAUACCCCAGUAGUCCACGCCCUAAACGAUGCAUACUAGGUAUUGGAAGUAUCGACCCUUCCAGUGCCGUUUAAAAAAGCUAACGCGUUAAGUAUGCCGCCUGGGGAGUACGACCGCAAGGUUAAAACUCAUAGGAAUUGACAA
rnacentral:rRNA from 1 species